AAUCACUACAGAUUACAACUGCCCUUCUCGUGUUCUUGAUUCUGUUAUGGUACUCGAUGGAAUAAUAAAUCAGCGUUCUUUCUACGAAACUGCUGCAUAAAGAACAGAAACCAACAUAUGAGCACAAACAUACUGCACACAUCUCAACUGAUACGCUCAAAUACCUUAACUAAAAUUAAAACUGUCUAUAUAAAUUAUUCUAUUGAUAUAAAAUUUCUUUUUUUUUGUCAAUUGGAGAUAAUAUUAUGCUCCUUAAUUCAAAACUUUUACAAAAUCUAACCCACCUAAGCAAAUGAAUCUUUGAUGGUAAAAUAUAACCUAAUCUCAUGUAAGUCGAGAUAUAUUUUUUUCCUAAAAAUGAUACUACAAAUUUGUCUUCACCCAUCAAUCUAACUUAGAUGCACAAACAAACUGCAUCUCAACCGAUACACACAAAUUUCUCUAUAUCAGCUGUCACACAAAUUUACCUAACAUAAAGCUGCAAAGUAUUGACCAAAGAUCCAGAAAUAUGGCACAUACCAUGCAGCCAUGUAUGCAGAAUAGAGGUCCUCGUUCUUUCAUUCUGGGUAACUGAAGAAUGCAGAGCUUUAAACAACCAUGACUCUUGCAGCAUAAGCAAGCAUAGCAGAGUUAAUGAUCAGUUGGGUAGAGUUGACAGCCUCAUUCUCGCCACAGCUUCCUUGAUUUGCUUGAUCAUAAAACGCAGAAUGAUUCGUCAUCCGCAAGCGCAUCGAUCACUGAAUGGGUAACAUCAACAUCAAUGAUCAAAGCCCAGAGGCUUUGUAGGAUUCUCAGCAGCAAGCAGCAGCCUUGGCAUAACAUCCACAGAAUAAAUGUGGAAGCAUACAGUGACAAAUUAAGAGAGAGUGACAGUAUUAUGAAGUAUGAACACAGAGAUAAGAGGAAACAGCAUUAUGCUAUAAAUAAAAACUUAGAACUGAAUAAAGAACUUAUCUCAUAGCAUUCCAACUCUUACAAGGAACAAUAGAACUCAUGACAUGAUUUUAACAAGAUAUUCUAUAUAACUUGUCAUGAGAUAGAUUUAUAUAGUCGACCAGAGAAAAGAUAUCCUUCUGGGAAUCUCAAUGCAAAAACAUCAAGUUUUCAGACUGAAGGGUAGUUAAAUGAUUUUUCACGUUCAAAUGACAAAGCUUACCAAAAUAUUUUGCAGUGCAUAUUGCCAAAAUAGUAGCUUCACUAUUUAACUUCUUCAUCUGUUCCUU
rnacentral:lncRNA from 1 species